UACGUAGGGCGCAAGCGUUGCUCGGAAUCACUGGGCGUAAAGGGCGCGUAGGCGGGAUGGCAGUCAGUCGUGAAAUCUCUCGGCUCAACCGAGAAACGUCGGCUGAUACUGCCGUUCUUGAGGGAUGCAGAGGAGACUGGAAUUCCCGAGGUAGCGGUGAAAUGUCGUAGAGUAUCGGGAGGAAUACCGGUGGCGAAGGCGGCUUAUCGCG
rnacentral:rRNA from 1 species